GAUGAACGCUGGCGGCGUGCCUAAUACAUGCAAGUCGAGCGAACGGACGAGAAGCUUGCUUCUCUGAUGUUAGCGGCGGACGGGUGAGUAACACGUGGAUAACCUACCUAUAAUACUGGGAUAACUUCGGGAAACCGGAGCUAAUACCGGAUGAUAUUUUGAACCGCAUGGUUCAAAAGUGAAAGACGGUCUUGCUGUCACUUAUAGAUGGAUCCGCGCUGCAUUAGCUAGUUGGUAAGGUAACGGCUUACCAAGGCAACGAUGCAUAGCCGACCUGAGAGGGUGAUCGGCCACACUGGAACUGAGACACGGUCCAGACUCCUACGGGAGGCAGCAGUAGGGAAUCUUCCGCAAUGGACGAAAGCCUGACGGAGCAACGCCGCGUGAGUGAUGAAGGUCUUCGGAUCGUAAAACUCUGUUAUUAGGGAAGAACAUAUGUGUAAGUAACUGUGCACAUCUUGACGGUACCUAAUCAGAAAGCCACGGCUAACUACGUG
rnacentral:rRNA from 1 species